AUGGAUGCUGGCGUCACCCAGACCCAGAGGCAAAAGGUCACAAGGACAGGAGGGAAUGUGACCCUGCAAUGCACCCAGGACAUGAAGCACAACUACAUGUACUGGUACCGACAAGACCCGAGGCUGGAGCUGCUGCUGAUGCACUACUCUCCUGGUGUUGGUGAUAUUGUCAAAGGCGACAUCCUAUACGGGUACUGUGUCUCCAGAUCAAACACGGAGCACUUCCCCCUCACGCUGGGGUCAGCGGCCCCCUCGCAGACAGCUGUGUACUGCUGUGCCAGCAGUGUCUCCACAGUGGUGCACGGCCAGCUCAGCCCCUCAAAGAAAGGGCUCAGGAGGCCCCAGCAGCCCGCUGACCCUGGGGAACUCGGAGCUGGGAAGACAGGUACUGGGGCCUUUGUUCCUGCUGAGGUCCAGGUCCAAGCCACUCUCAGCUGA